AAACAUUGCUCCUUGAAAAAUACUAAAUAAGGAGUACUGCCUGCCCAGUGACAAAAGUUAAACGGCCGCGGUAUUUUGACCGUGCAAAGGUAGCAUAAUCAUUUGUUCUUUAAUUGAGGACUAGUAUGAAAGGCAACACGAAAGCUUAACUGUCUCCCCCCUAAAAAAAGAAAUUAUUAUCUUCGUGAAGAAACAAAGAUAAAAACGCAAGACGAGAAGACCCUGUCGAGCUUAAGAAAAUUUUUAUAGAAUUAAAACACAGAUAAUUUAUAUACUAAAAACCAAAUAAAAAUAUCUUUGGUUGGGGCAACCACGAAGAAAAAAAAACCUUCGAUUAAAAAAAGAAAUAAACAAAUUUAAAAAUUUUUAAAAUUUUAAAGAUCCAGAAAAUACUGAUCAAAGGAAAAAGUUACCGCAGGGAUAACAGCGUUAUUCUCUUUAAGAGUUCAUAUUGACAAGAGAGUUUGCGACCUCGAUGUUGGACCGGGACACCCCAGAGGUGCAACAGCCUCUAAAGGUAGGUCUGUUCGACCUUUAAAGCCCUACGCGAU
rnacentral:rRNA from 1 species